UCCCAGAUUUAGAGAUCUAAAAUUGUUCCUAGUUAUAUAUGUAUAAAAUAAAGUAUAUCUUCACAUGUAAAAAGAAAUGAGACAUCCUAGUUAGUGAGUAUACUUCCCUCUUUCCUGACUUUUGUGACUCAGAGUUAUUUUUAUCACAAUUUAGGGAUUCCAUGAUAGCCCUAAUAUGUUAAAGAUGUUUUAGAUGAAUGGUACAGAGAAGCUUCAGAACAUUUUAACGUAUUCAACUUGCCAAAGACCUAGCAGGUGUUCCUCAACCCUCCUCAAAACAAAAGGCCAUGUGGUCUUAGUGCUGAAGAUGCUCAAUGUAUGCAGAGAACACAGAGAAAAGCAGGAUGGUGCUGGUGCUCUGGCUUUGGCAGUAACACUGACCCACCUCUCAGCAAUUCUCACCACUGGACAGAAGAAAGCCCCUCUGUCUGCUUCCUUUUGCUAUCUAAACAGUGCAUUGCAGCAGUCCCUUACUUUCUCUGCUGUGUCACUGCCUUUUUUUUUUUUUUUUUUAGUUCAAUUUUUCUAAUUAGAAUCAUUGAAAAGAAACGUAAAGUUCUCAUCAGAUAGAAGCAAAAGUCUCACAGGUGGGAGAAAAAUAGAAUUAAAACUAUGUAUGUUUAAGUUUGUUAUAAUAGGAAAUUUUAUUGUAAUAAAAAUGAUGCUUGUCAAGUCAAUUCUUGAUCUUUAAGGAAAUUUUUCAUCUUGGGUCUAGGACAACAGCUUAUGUGAUGGUUUUGAGGUUAUCAUCACGGCUCUGUUCAGGCCGUCCCAACAUGGAGAGCGUGCUGGGAUGGGAGCCCCAGCCUCAUCCCAUUCAUAGAAAUAACUUUUCACUUAGUGGUAUAUAUAAAUAAGUAGAUAUACACAUAUUAUAUUUAUAGAGAACACAUACAUGCAUAUAUCCACUACAUAUGAAACUAAAAUGUUCCUUUAAAAAUGAUAAAAAGAGAUAUUCCUGUGAAGUAAAUUCUCUUUCAUUUUUUAGAGAGGACUUAUGUUUAAGAUGCAUUUUCCCUCUACUGUUUGGCAAAAACAUGCAUUUCCAGAGGCUUUUUCUAGUCACAGUUACAGUGAUAUUGUUUAGAGUUUAUUGGGCAGGGAACACACACUGUUACCUUUUCAAUCUUUCUAAUUUUUAUUAGAUUCUAAGCUCUCACACCUUGGCCUUUGGGCAUUUUCCUUGAUAAAAGCCGUUCUGCCUUCCAAUCUAGCAAAGACCAAAGACUUUGGAUAUGAACUUUUAAAAGUAACUCCUGGAGAAGAGGCUUCAACUAUAUUGACCCAACUGGCAGUCUGUGGAAGGCCACACAAAUUCCUCUGAGAGAAUGCCCUGCCUUUUACCUUGUGGUUUCCAGUUUGAGUCAAGUAAAGAUUAACAGUGUCCAAAGUUUUUUAUCAUCUGGUGAUCACUUGGGAGCUGAUAUGAACUAAAGUGCUAGUGUUUUAUAUCUACUUGUCUUAGGCCACCUGGUUCAGGAUAGGUGAGGGGCCAGAUCCAAAUCUUUAUUGAAAUGGUUACUCUAGAUGGAAGCCCCUGUGCAAAGAUCAAUGUUAAAUCUUCUUGCAUUAAUGGAAGAUAUCCUCUUAGACAAGGUUGGAAGUAAGCUGGGGAAUUGUGGGUGGAGGAAAUAGGCAAGACAAAAAGCCUCUAAGUAUUUAACAUAAAUUUAUUCUGGGUCCCCUACUAGUGAUUAUACCACAUGAUCCUGAAUUCCUUUUCUGGAUAGUAUAGUCAUGACCUCCUUCUGACUCAGUCAGAAGGUUCCAUCUCCCUAUUCAUUGUUUUUCCACCUCUGACAAUCAUCAAGCUUUAAGGAAAAUGAAAAACUUAUUAACAGAAAAACUGGGGAACCAGGGCAUCACUGAUGUGCACAUACAUUAUGUAUGUGCAGAGUGAGAAAGAGAGAGAACCAAUUCACAAUAAUUUUCUGAAAUAUUUAAUUAGGGCUGGAUAAUAUUUUGUUAUUGUUAUUGUUGGCUGUUUCGAUUAAAGAGGCACUGGGGUCUGAAUCAUUAAAAUAGUUGCUUAAAUUUUCUACUUGACAUUUCAUGCGUAGUUACUAUUAAAAUAAAUCUUGCCACUUCAUUUCUUAAGUUAAUGUGUUAUACAUAAAAAGACUCAUGGACAAUAAUUCAUAUUAGGCCUAACUAGGUAGAAUUUAGAAAUAAAAGUGUCUUUUAAGAUUAUUUUGUUUAAAGAAAAUUCAAGGUUUCUAAAAAUUAAGAUUUAAAUUGCAUAAGGUGGCCAUCCUGUCCAAUUGUUACCAAGAACUACAAAAGCUUCUGUCUCCAAGUUUACCCUUCAUUCACAACCUAUGCAUCAUAAAAACCAACAGUUCUUAAUUUGGAGUGGUCAGAAACCCUUCCAUGAAUUUGGUGAAAACUACUGAUCUUUUGCUCAGAAAAAAUAAACAACACACAAACCAAAGAAAUUGUCAUACAUUUGAGGGAACUCACCCAUUUUCUAAAAUCUCUCCAUGGACAACUCACAAGGAUACUUGAACCAGAGGUUAGGAAUUCCUGCAAAAGAUAUCAGCUCAGGCAACUUCUAAUAAGAGUAUAUACCCCACAUCUUUAUCAAUACAUAUACAGAAAGGGGAAAAAAAAGGGGAGUAGAAAGCAAUGUGCCCUCCUAAAAUGGGAAGAAAUCAAGAUUAGUGGUUUAAUCAACCCAAUUAUUUGUCCUUGAAAAUGGUGAAUACUUAUAUGUACCAUGUUUUCCAUUUCUCCUCCAUCUCAAAAUUAGAGGGUGUUAGAGUAUGACCAAUUUUAAGACCAAAGAAGGCUAAGAUUUUGGUAAAAGAUAAUUAAAAAACAGACUCAGUUUUGUUUGCCUUCUAAAGCUUCCAGUAGCCAGCUCACAUUAAAACUUAAAAAAGAAUCCACUUAAUCUGCAAGAGCUACUGAAAAAUGAAUUUCAAUAAGAGACUAAGAUCAAAUUAAAAUUUAAAACUAUAACAUGUUUCUUCUUUCCGAAACUAAGUCAUUUCACUUUGGAUCUACACAUCUACAUGUUAGGUAUAGAAGUAUAUAUAAUGGCCCAAAAUAUCUGCCGCCUGUUAAAAAAAACAGGUGCUUACUGCUUCCACAGCCGUUAAGAAUGGCUUAAAAUGUCCAACCAAAAUAACUCAAAUGUUUAUCAAAUUUGUUUAGAUUAAUGGUCAAUAAGGACUCGGGAGGAAACUUUACAUGUGCAUUCUUAGUGUUCAAAACUCUAACGCAAAAUUCAUUUUAGGCCUGUGGUCAAAACGUACCGGAUGCAGCGUGUCUCGCUUCUCCAGUCGCCAGCAGACAAGGCCUGGAGCUGAAACCGGAACCGGAAGCCACUACCGGCUGCUACCCAAGUCCUCAGGGGCCCGCGCGUGGGUGCACUUCCGGGACCCGCCUUCCCCGGUGCCGGCUUUGUCUUGGGCCUGCGCUCCGGGGUCCCAGUGUAGGCUCUGGGCAGGAUGCAAGGGUAACGCCACCUUUCUAGCUCUAAGGACAAGCCUGUUUUAGUUCCUCCAUCUUUCACCGCAAGAAAUUUGAGGGAGGAAGUUUGGACUUCGGAGCCCGCCCAGCGUGGGGCUGCGGUCGAGGCAUGCAGUGAGAAGAGCGCCCACGUCGCCUUUGACCGAGGGGAAUGGAUACUUCUGCGUUGAGAACCGCACCCCCUCAUCAGAUACUCGUAAAGACCGGAGAGGGGAUUAGAGAAAAAGGAGCACGCGGACUGCAGGCUCCCAGGCCUCCCUCGCGUCAGCGAGGAGGCACAGUGUCCUGUGCACCCGGCUGGCUGCACCGCUUGCGGCCCGGAGCGAUGGCUGAGGCACCGAGGAUUCGAGGCCCACUUCUGGAGCUGGUGCCCUUAGGCGGCCUGGGUUGAGGAUCUCGAUGUCCCACGCAGCUGGUCGGUAAGUGCCACUCAGCCACUCCAGUAACUGCCGGCGGGUACUCUAUCGGGACCCGCCAACUGACCUUAAACCUGGGAACGCCAAGCGGGCAGGGGAGCACCCCCUACCCCGGGGCGAAGCCAGGUGCAUUUGCAGCCUCCGAAGUCUCAGCUUUCAGAGGCUUCCGCUUAGUGCUCUGGGUGAAAGUUGGGGUGGAGAAUGGGAACACGGUGCACUUGCCACAUUUUUUUUUUGUCAAUACACGGGAACCCUGCUAUGGCAUCCUUAUGGCAUCACUGCGCGCAACCUGGCGGGGUGGGAAGGCGUCCCUGCGGGUGGCAGGCAAGCCUGCAAGUGUGCAGGACCUGGCAGGCCUUGUCCCGACAAGCCUGGCCCCUCUCUGGAGGCUCUGCUUGGAGGCGGCUCGGGAGCCCCUCGGGAAAGCCGCAGCCUUAGGCCCCCACCUGGCAUACCAUCUCCCCUAGCCAGAAAUCAUCUAUGUGACAUGUCUAAUUAAAAAUAAAAGGGUUAAGCUUUGAAAUAACCUAAAUAGUUGUUGGUGAGAAAAUGUAAGCAUUAGGUAACUAGAAUUGUUAAAAAUAAAUUUCUCGAAAUGCGGGGUGUGAUUUUAUCCUGAGACCACAGGCUCUAUAAAUCUAAUGACAUCCGAACAAUAUUAAACGAAAGAAAAGGAAAGCAGUUUUGAAUAAAUACCCACUCUUCUUUGAUAACUAUCAGGUAUUUAAUGUCUGGCCUGAAUGACUAGUCCUAGUUAGAAAUCAGCAGCUAAAAUUCUGUCCAUUUGAGUCAAGGAACUAUAUGUGGCACAUAAAAAUUUGCUGUUAGUAUGUAUUAUAAUUUUAUUAAUAAAAUCAAGGUAGUAUUAUUAAACAUGUCCUGAAAGUGCAAGAUAUCAGUUAAUUUUUACAUAUAAACUCAACAUAAUAAAUAUUUGGGUAUUAAUGGGGGGUGUAAGUUGUAAGAAAGUCUGAACAUCCCUCUUAUUUAUUCACACAUACUGAGUGUGCAAUUACUGUUAACAUUUUCGUUUUCUUGGUCUGCUCUUGGUGAGAACUGAUUCUUAGCUGACUAAAGGAUGUGGUUUUGCCAACAUUCAUCAGUUUCAAGAAAAUUUUGGAUCAAUAAAUGUGUCUUUCAUACAAAUAUCCAUGUACCUAAAGUAAGUGCUCUAAAUUACAUAAGAUAUAUGAAUGUCAUAAACCUUUGCUGUUUGUUUGCACAGGAUAAUUUUUCUUACUUUUAAAUUUGCAAGGUUAGCCAUCAUAGUCUUAUAUUGUUUUCAGCUAAGGCUAUCUCUGUAUUAUCUUGAAUUUCCUUCAAGGCUUGAUGGUAUUAUCAGUGAAAACUUUAGGUAAUUCUGAUGACCAGAAUUAAAGUAGGAAGCCAGAUAUUUAUUUUGAAGAGAGAACAGAGAAUUUUGUAAACAUGCUUCUCAGGAAGCAAUUAUAAGAGCACUUUUCCCCCCUUCCAAUUCUCCAGUUUUUAAGAGCAGCUGUUGAAAAUGUUUGUCUCAGAAAAUUACAGGAAUAAUUAAACUUAAACAUUAAAAAAAAAAUUUCACAAUAGGCCCAAAUUUUCAUUAGAAAUAUUAGUUAGCAUUCGGCUACUUUAAUGUAUUUCUAAACUUUAGUUAUAUUUUCUGUGCUACAAAUAGUUUCCAUAUGCCUAGUUUUCUCUGUAGAAUAGUUUUCUCUGUAGUAUGUCUUUUGGUGAAUACUGACUCUGAGCAUGUACACAAUUGGCAAUUGGUUUUGUAUUUUGUCCUCCAU
rnacentral:lncRNA from 1 species